rnacentral:lncRNA from 1 species
CACAGUGCAACUGGGCCAGGCCCUCUCGUGUCUUGCUGGUGCUUCUCACUUCCGAGGCCCAUAGCUGGGGGCCAGGGGAUCGAGGUGUGCAGCAAGUAGAGGUCAGUUUCCUGGGCAUGGCACCUGUCAGAAAAGACCAGGGAAUAGGUCUGGGUAGGGGUGGGGUGGGAGAGGUGCCAGCCAGGGCAACCAGCAGAGCGAGGAGAAGGAGGGCGUGGAUAUUUGCCAAGUGCUUAGAACAGUGUUUGCACGUGGUGUUGGAGGAAGGAAACCUGUGCUAGCCUCUGGGGGUACAAGACAUGUUAAGUCAACUCCUGCAGCACCUUCCGUGUGGGAAGCUCCAGGCUCUUCCUUCUGGAGCUGGCUGUGGUGCGGCCCCAUGUGGGGGACAGGUGCCUAGUCUGGUGCCCACUGCACAGACACAUUCCAUGGAAGUUCACCUGGGCCUCCCCACCCUGGUGGACACAGCCAUCAGAUUCAUUCAUGGUGUUCCUUGGCCCUACUCCAUCUCUCCUGCCUUCCCUGGUCCCCCAUCUCAUGCACUUUGGCCAUGACCCCGCCUGUGGACCAGAGGUGGACCAGUGGCUGAGGCCUAGGAAGCCCUGCCUGGGGCAGGCGGGUCCAGCCUCUGUCCUGUCCUCAGAGUCCCUGGGCACUGAGGGGAUUUCCCUUGGCCUUUGUGAGGCUCCUCUGAGUCGACCUGUGCAUGGGAUGGGAGUCCCACUGGGGCUCCUGUGGGACCUGUGCUCCUAGCUGCCUGCAGGGGGUUAACUGAGCUACUCAGUGCAGAGGGGUUCACCUUGCAGGUGGGAGAGGCGGAGGAGGACAAGGAUACAGCCCUUCAUGAGCAUGCCUGCUUCCUCUGCCUGUCCACUCUGCUGGCUGGGCUGCCCUGUUGGUGGGAGUGGCCCUCUCCAGUCUACCUGCCUGGUCAGUGCUGUGGGCAGGCCAUAGCCUCUUCCCUUGUCCUUUAUCAAAGCAAGAGGUGGUGCAGGAACGUGGAGUGGGGCUGGACUACAGCUGCGACAGCACCACUGACCUCCCAUACUGCAGCUGGCAGUAGACCAAAGCUUUGAGCUGAGCAUGUGCAAACUCUGGGCUCAGCCCCUGGCUUACUUGAUUUCAUUUUGUCUUUCCAUAGCCCUUGGGUUGGCACUUCUGCUAUCUCACUGUAAAUGAGGAAACUAAGGCACAGAGAGUUAAGGUCUGGCUUGUAUCACACAGCUAAUAUGUGGUAGAGCUGAGAUCUGAGCUCAGGUCUGACCCCCUGUGCCGCUGAUCUGUGCUGCCUCCCCUCCCAGGUCCUGCCUUCUUGCUCCCGAGGGUGUCAUCAGGCCUGGGUCUCUGUAUGGAGGGGACUGCAGCUCGGAAAUGAGGCUGGCUUGGGAACGUUUUUCCACACGACCCCCCCUGCCCCCACCCCGUGCAGCUGUGUAAUGAGCCCACAUCUGUUACCACCACAUGUUGCUCGGCGCUUCGCAGAUGUAAAGUCUCAAUUUUUCUAAUUAGCAGCAACACGAAGUCUAUCUUAAUUUUCUCCUCCCCUCCCUCUAAUAAACGU